GCGGACAACAGGCAUGAGAUUCAAUCGCGAACGAUGAUUAAUCGGGCCAUUAAUGCCAAUCGAUGCUCCGGGAAGCUGGUCCUUUCCUACUCUGCUCAUUUUCGCAAACCACAGUCCAAAAGCAAGGUGAUGGGUGUUGCUUAGGUUCCAGCUCUGUUUGGUUUAAGCUUCUCUCCAGGUUGGAAUUCUAGCGACGUACUGCUUGGUAUCUUUGGUUCUUCCAGUUGAUCCAAUGGCUAAUGGACAAUCCAGACUGGCCGCUGCUCCUUUCCCACUCUCCUCACUCUUGCAAACCAAUCUCCAGCAGCGAUGGGUGAUGUUCAGGUGUUCUGUUGGAUUAGAAAGUUUAGGAAUUAACCAUUUGGAAGGUGAUCCACUGGUUUCUAUGUUUCCAAUCUAUACAGUACCUCUUGCUGCUCCCCUGAGCAAUUAUUUGACCAUGC